rnacentral:rRNA from 1 species
AUUUUGGACAAUGGGCGAAAGCCUGAUCCAGCCAUGCCGCGUGAGUGAAGAAGGCCUUCGGGUUGUAAAGCUCUUUUAGUCGGAAAGAAAGAGUUGCAAUGAAUAAUUGUGAUUUAUGACGGUACCGACAGAAAAAGCACCGGCUAACUACGUGCCUGCAGCCGCGGUAAUACGUAGGGUGCGCGCGUUAAUCGGAAUUACUGGGCGUAAAGGGUGCGCAGGCGGUCUAGCAAGGCAGAUGUGAAAGCCCCGGGCUUAACCUGGGAAUUGCGUUUGAAACUACAAGACAAGAGUGCAGCAGAGGGGAGUGGAAUUCCAUGUGUAGCAGUGAAAUGCGUAGAGAUGUGGAAGAACACUGAUGGCAAAGGCAGCUCCCUGGGUUGACACUGACGCUCAUGCACGAAAGCGUGGG